GAGAGUUAAAUAGUACGUGAAAUUGUUGAAAGGGAAACGAUUGAAGUCAGUCAUGCUAGUGAAAAAUCAGUUUGACGGGUUUUGAGUUCGGGAGUAGAGGCAGGGUCAAACCGUUUCUCUUUUGAACUUGGGAUUUGUUAGAUGUACUUUUUCUUUGGCAGGUCAGCGUCGAUUUCGGAGGUUGUAAAAUACUUGGGGGAAAGUAGCUCUGCUUCGGGAGAGUAUUAUAGACCCUGGGGGAUGCAGCCUGCGGGAUCGAGGAUUGCAGCAAAUGCCUUUGGCUUGUCGCCUGAUCUCUGGAUGUUACCUCGCUUGUGACAACAUUCUUGCCACCUGUGGGUACUAAUGCCCAUUAGGUUAGAGCGAUCAAAAAUUUUGCUAAGGAUGCUGACGUAAUGGCUUUAAACGA
rnacentral:rRNA from 1 species